AUUGAACGCUGGCGGCAUGCUUUACACAUGCAAGUCGAACGGUAACAGGUUAAGCUGACGAGUGGCGAACGGGUGAGUAAUGCAUCGGAACGUGCCCGAUCGUGGGGGAUAACGCAGCGAAAGCUGCGCUAAUACCGCAUACGAUCUGGGGAUGAAAGCGGGGGACCGUAAGGCCUCGCGCGAUCGGAGCGGCCGAUGUCAGAUUAGGUAGUUGGUGGGGUAAAGGCUCACCAAGCCGGCGAUCUGUAGCUGGUCUGAGAGGACGACCAGCCACACUGGGACGGAGACACGGCCCAGACUCCUACGGGAGGCAGCAGUGGGGAAUUUUGGACAAUGGGCGAAAGCCUGAUCCAGCAAUGCCGCGUGCAGGAAGAAGGCCUUCGGGUUGUAAACUGCUUUUGUACGGAGCGAAAAGGCUCUCUCUAAUACAGGGGGCUCAUGACGGUACCGUAAGAAUAAGCACCGGCUAACUACGUGCCAGCCGCCGCGGUAAGAC
rnacentral:rRNA from 1 species